AUUUUGGGAUUUCAAAUUUGGGAUUUCAGUUCUGGAAACGGCGAGCGCGAGAGGAAAGUCCGAACACCAGAGGGCAACGGACUGGCUAACUGCCAGGCGGGGUGACCCGACGACAAGUGCAACAGAGAAUAGACCAGCCGAUGGCUCCUGAGAAGCGGCGAAAGCUGCUUCUUAGGAACACAGGUGAUGGGUGAAACGGUGAGGUAAGAGCUCACCAGCACGGGGUGGUGACGCUUCGUGGCUAGGCAAACUCUCCGUGGUGCAAGACCAAAUAGGGAGGCGUCAUCAGGACUGCCCGUCCAAAGCGCGGCGGCUUAGGCUGUAGCGCUACGACCUCCGGGUAGGUCGCUCGAGCGAGCGGAGUAAUCCGCCGCCUAGAUGAAUGACCGUCGCCGACUCCCGAUUGGGCUCGUGUAGCUGCGCUACUCGAACAGAUUGGGAGCCGGAACAGGAUUCGGCUUACAGACCCACUCCAGAA
rnacentral:RNase_P_RNA from 1 species